rnacentral:rRNA from 1 species
AUAGGCUAAUUAAGAGCGUAUGGGGAAUGCCUAGGCUCUCAGAGGCGAUGAAGGACGUGAUAAGCUGCGAAAAGCUACGGGGAGUGGCACAUACACUGUGAUCCGUAGAUAUCCGAAUGGGGCAACCCACUAUAUUGAAGAUAUAGUACCCGAUUUUUCGGGAGCAAACCCGGGGAACUGAAACAUCUAAGUACCCGGAGGAGAAGAAAACAAAAGUGAUUCCGUUAGUAGCGGCGAGCGAACGCGGAACAGCCCAAACCCAAUUUGUUACGGCAAGUUGGGGGUAAUAGGACCUUAACAUUCAAUGCUUGCAGAACCAGAAAUUACUGGAAAGUAGUACCAUAGAGGGUGAUAGUCCCGUAUGGGUAAUAAGAGUUAUUGAUAGAGGUAUCCUGAGUAGUGCGGGGCACGUGAAACCUUGCAUGAAUUUGCCGGGACCAUCCGGUAAGGCUAAAUACUCCUGAGAGACCGAUAGUGAACCAGUACCGUGAGGGAAAGGUGAAAAGAACCCUGAAUAAGGGAGUGAAAUAGAACCUGAAACCAUGCGCUUACAAGCGGUCGGAGCCAGACUUGUCUGGUGACGGCGUGCCUUUUGCAUAAUGAGCCUACGAGUUACCGUUGUUAGCAUGGUUAAUCCAUUUUGUGGAGAAUCCGCAGCGAAAGCGAGUCUGAAUAGGGCGUUAAGUUAGCAGUGGUAGACGCGAAACCGAGUGAUCUAUCCAUGAGCAGGUUGAAGCUGUGGUAACACAUAGUGGAGGACCGAACCCGUUGACGUUGAAAAGUCUUGGGAUGACUUGUGGAUAGGGGUGAAAGGCCAAUCAAACUCGGAAAUAGCUCGUACUCCCCGAAAUGCAUUUAGGUGCAGCGUUGUAAUAGUUUUAUAGAGGUAGAGCUACUGAUUGGAUGCGGGGGUUUCACCACCUACCAAUUCCUGACAAACUCCGAAUGCUAUAAAAUGUUUUACAGCAGUGAGGGCAUGGGUGCUAAGGUCCAUGUCCGAGAGGGAAACAACCCGGACCACCAGCUAAGGUCCCAAAGUGUAUACUAAGUUGAUUAAACGAGGUUUGACUGCCCAGACAGCUAGGAUGUUGGCUUGGAAGCAGCCAUUCAUUUAAAGAGUGCGUAACAGCUCACUAGUCGAGCGGUCGAGCAUGGAUAAUAAUCGGGCAUAAGUAUAUCACCGAAGCUGUGGCAUCGAAAGAUGGGUAGGGGAGCAUUCUAUAUGCGCUGAAGGUAGACUGUGAGGUUUGCUGGAGCGUAUAGAAAAGAAAAUGUAGGCAUAAGUAACGACAAUGCAGGUGAGAAACCUGCACACCGAAAGACUCAGGUUUCCUCAGCUAUGCUAAUCAGCUGAGGGUUAGUCGGGACCUAACGCGAACCCGAAUGGGGUAGUGGAUGGACAACGGGUUAAUAUUCCCGUACCCGCCGGCGCUAAAAGUGACGGAGAACAAAAGAUAUUGCGUACUGACGGAAAUGUACGUUGAAACCAUUGUAGAGGUGGUGAUAGUACACCAAGGCUUCGGCUGCGGUGAUAAUAUAUCGGAUGAUCUUCCAAGAAAAACAAGCCAGGCGGCCCGUACCGUAAACCGACACAGGUAGUUGGGAUGAGAAUUCUAAGGUGCUCGAGAGAUUCAUGGCUAAGGAACUAGGCAAAAUGGGCCCGUAACUUCGGGAGAAGGGUCGCCCACAGUAAUGUGGGCCGCAGUGAAAAGGUCCAGGCGACUGUUUAUCAAAAACACAGGACUCUGCUAAGUCGAAAGACGAUGUAUAGGGUCUGACACCUGCCCGGUGCCGGAAGGUUAAGUGGAGAUGUCAUCUUCGGAGAAGCAUUAAAAUGAAGCCCCGGUAAACGGCGGCCGUAACUAUAACGGUCCUAAGGUAGCGAAAUUCCUUGUCGGGUAAGUUCCGACCUGCACGAAUGGUGUAACGAUCUGGACACUGUCUCAGCCAUGAGCUCGGUGAAAUUGUAGUAUCGGUGAAGAUGCCGAUUACCCGCUACGGGACGAAAAGACCCCGUGCACCUUUACUAUAGCUUCGUAUUGACCUUGGAUAAGUAAUGUGUAGGAUAGGUGGGAGACUUUGAAAUGGCGUCGCCAGGCGCUGUGGAGUCAUUGUUGAAAUACCACCCUUUGCUUAUCUAGGGCCUAAUCUGCUUCGGCGGAGACAGUGCGUGGUGGGUAGUUUGACUGGGGUGGUCGCCUCCAAAAGAGUAACGGAGGCUUCUAAAGGUACCCUCAGCACGCUUG